UCCCAAAUCAGCAUCCCUAAAACUCCCGAUUUCUCUAGCUCUUCUCGCCCUCUCCUUUCGCGACGACAACAGACGACGCUAACAGUUGUGGUCUCGGGUCUCCUCUGCUCCGGCGAAGGCGGUGGUGGUCGGCGACAGCAAGUCCAGCAGCCGGCGAUGCAGGGUAGACCAGCGACAUCCUUUCCCUCUCUUCUCCCUCCCUCUUCCUACGGCGAUGGUCAGCGGCGAUGACUAGGACGGCCUCCUUCAAUUCCUCUGUUCUUUCUCCUGGUAGUAAUGGCAAAGAUUGGGGGAGGUUCCUCGUUGAAGUGUUUAGCUUAGGAAUUGAGCUAAGAUCGGGUGCUUUGCUUUUGGAGCUUAGCUUGAGGACUUGGUGUAAAGUGACUCGUUUUGAGAGCGCAACGGAGAGCUAGUUGCCUUGGAUUGGAUUCUUUGUAUAAAUUGUUUAGCUUAGAGUUUUGAGUUAUUUGGUUGUAGACGAUCUGUAACUGGGAUAGUGAAUUGUUGUAUUAUAGUUGAUUUGUAAUAUGGAUUGUGGUGGGUGUCGAAACCAACAAAUAAUAAAUACUUACUCUUAUGCAUUGUAAUAGUGAUGAGCAAGGUCGUAUCCA